UAUCCUGGUGAUCACAGACAAAAUUACUGGGGGACACCUAACCUUUAUGCAAAUAUCUUACUAACUCCAGAGUGGAUCUGAGCUGGCCCAGAAAACUGAGUUCAGCUGUGGGAUCUUUGCCCAGGGUCGGGACAAGAUGAAUUAAUAAUAAAUUAGCCAGUUAUUACCAGACUGGGUGUGCCUUGCAUUAAAAACAACAAAUCCCCCGCACCCAAAAGAGGAGGCAUCUCUGAUAGACCUUGACUGAAGUCCAGGAGUACGGAGGUGUUAGUGGAGCAGGUUCUGGUUGUGAAAGAUUCUGGUCAUCACAUUAAUCUGUUGUCAUCAACUCCCAGGGCUGACUUCUGAAAGCGUAUAAAAGCCUCCUGGUUGGGAGGCUCCUUAAACCAGGUGGCUCUUUCUUCCCUUCCUCCAACAGCAGAAGACGCUAGGUUUAGCCAAAAUGUCUUCCCACCAGCAGAAGCAGCAGCAGCAAAUGC
rnacentral:lncRNA from 1 species